rnacentral:rRNA from 1 species
GACGAACGCUGGCGGCGUGCUUAACACAUGCAAGUCGAACGGAAAGGCCCUGCUUUUGUGGGGUGCUCGAGUGGCGAACGGGUGAGUAACACGUGAGUAACCUGCCCUUGACUUUGGGAUAACUUCAGGAAACUGGGGCUAACACCGGAUAGGAGCUCCUGCUGCACGGUGGGGGUUGGAAAGUUUCGGCGGUUGGGGAUGGACUCGCGGCUUAUCAGCUUGUUGGUGGGGUAGUGGCUUACCAAGGCUUUGACGGGUAGCCGGCCUGAGAGGGUGACCGGCCACAUUGGGACUGAGAUACGGCCCAGACUCCUACGGGAGGCAGCAGUGGGGAAUAUUGCACAAUGGGCGGAAGCCUGAUGCAGCAACGCCGCGUGCGGGAUGACGGCCUUCGGGUUGUAAACCGCUUUCGCCUGUGACGAAGCGUGAGUGACGGUAAUGGGUAAAGAAGCACCGGCUAACUACGUG